UGCAUAAUGUAUUUCUUUAUUUGAGUGAAUAUUUAAGAUAUAUAAAUUUUUAGCAAAACAAUAAUAUGUAAAAGUAAAAGUGAAUCUACUUUACACCAUAAAAUGGAAAGACUAAUCUCGGUAAUAUUGGUAGCAUGUCCAUUUCCAUUGUAAAUGUUGUUGUGAUUCUACAAACAACUUUUUUCGCCCAAACAUCUUCAUCUCAAUUUGGUCAGUUUGGCUUCCAUCACAACUCGCUGCAAUUAAGGUCUUUUCAAACAUUGAAAAGCAAGUAACUACAAUGACCGCACACCAAAUUAGUUACACAAACAAAUUCACCUCUCACGAUAUAAACAAUAUUAAAAUUGCAGUCACAAAAGGAAGGAAUGAAUAGCGUGUAGAUGUUGUUUUGUGUUGAGAAGAGUUGGUAUAAUAAACUUAAAAGAUUGAAGGAGAAGUAAAAGUAUGAGCGGAAAG
rnacentral:lncRNA from 1 species